GUUGGAAAAUCUUGUCCCAUUGAUAUGAAAUAGUUCAAUCCGUUACAUUAGAGAUAAGGUUAAAUAUUUUUGACAUUUUAAAAUACCUGUAGUUUACAAACGCAUUCAUAAACACAUACACUUUCAACGUGGUCAGUUCAUUAUAAAUACGCAGAAGAAAAAAAAAUGGAAAAACUGUGUCCUGCAAUAUUUGGAAUAAUUACAUUAGUUUUAUUAUGUGCUGGAGCUUUCUCUCCCGGAUGGUUGGUCAUGGACACUACUAGCAUAAGUGGAAUUGAGGGCCAUGAUACUUCAGGCGGCGUUAAAGUGCACAUGGGAUUAUUUUAUCUAGUUGUUGUAGGGAAAGAUUUUACGACAGUAGUGGGAUAUGGAGAUGUUAGUGGACUCAGCGUUUUAAGUAUGUACAUGUAUUUAAAGUUUAGUGUGAAAUUGGUGCGAAUUGCAAUAAUUAUAUACUCAUCAACAGUAAGUUCUGCCCCUUUAGCAGAAAACUGGGCAUCCCAAUUUUUAGUAAAGUGCAAUAGUUGAUACUUAUAAUGUUAUAUACUAUAGCCAAUAUAACUAGAAAUGCCAUUUUGUCAUUUCCGGCUAUAAAUCCAGUUGAAGCAAAAAUACCCCCUUCAUCGCUAAAUCAGAAGUUAUAGUGUUAAGUACACUUAUUUGAUCAUUAAUUUGUUAUAUAAGAUUGAACGAUAAUAACGUAUAAUAGCUUAUACAGAACACUAAGCGAAUAAUUCUGAAUGAAUGAAAAAGAUAUUUUGUAAAUUGUUGCUAAGGCAGUCUUUCACUGUAUUUCAAACUGUAAACACGUGCAAUUCUGUAACGGUCUUGUAUAUACUUAUUUUAUAUUA
rnacentral:lncRNA from 1 species